rnacentral:rRNA from 1 species
GCCAAGUGGCGGGGUGCUAUACAUGCAAGUCGAGCGGACGGAUGGGAGCUUGCUCCCUGAAGUCAGCGGCGGACGGGUGAGUAACACGUGGGCAACCUGCCUGUAAGACUGGGAUAACUCCGGGAAACCGGGGCUAAUACCGGAUAACUCUUUUCCUCACAUGAGGAAAAGCUGAAAGAUGGUUUCGGCUAUCACUUACAGAUGGGCCCGCGGCGCAUUAGCUAGUUGGUGAGGUAACGGCUCACCAAGGCCACGAUGCGUAGCCGACCUGAGAGGGUGAUCGGCCACACUGGGACUGAGACACGGCCCAGACUCCUACGGGAGGCAGCAGUAGGGAAUCUUCCGCAAUGGACGAAAGUCUGACGGAGCAACGCCGCGUGAGUGAUGAAGGUUUUCGGAUCGUAAAACUCUGUUGUCAGGGAAGAACAAGUACCGGAGUAACUGCCGGUACCUUGACGGUACCUGACCAGAAAGCCACGGCUAACUACGUGCCAGCAGCCGCGGUAAU